rnacentral:lncRNA from 1 species
CCUUCUCUGCAAGUGGAUGGGCCUCUUCUCCACCUCCCCCAUUAGCCUGGGAGCCAACAAGUCUCCACAAUGAGGGGGUGGGAGUUAGGGUUUCCCAGGCCUGGAACACGGUCCAGAAGUUAACAAGAGUAAGUUUAGGAUUUCCUGCAGCCUCUGCACUCAGGGUUCCUCCAGUUCAGCUGGUGCCACUGAUGAGGAUUAUUUUGGGCUGGUUACUUUUAAAAACUGCAGACAGGAAGGAGGCUCUGAGGAAUGGAAUUCACUCACCCUUUCUUGGGAGACAUUUACAUUUCAAAUCCUCGGGCAGCUCAUUAUGGAUGUUUCUGCUAAAUGGACACCUCAUAGCAGCGCAAGACAUUUUCCUUUGCACUGCGUGGUUUCAUCAAGGGCAGCCAGUUUUCUUGUUUGGUCAGUAAAUCUCAGCUGUUGCCUUCUUCAAGACUCCUCUUCACACAUAAGAAGCACCUCCAAAAUCCAGUAAGACCCCAUUAUUUUUUUUUUUUUUAUCUCUGCUAAGUUCAAACUCAUCAUUUUCUCUUGACAACAGCUCGAAGGGCUCCCUGAGGGGCUGGCCGUGUAACGCAACCACCCCCCCCCCCCCCCCCGCCCCAAACUCUCAAAGCCAAUAACUGUUUGCCAGAUUUUGUUUCCUAGUUAUGUAUGAAGCUCCACAGCAAAAGGAAGUGGGGACUCAACGAAGAUAAAUUAGAAGAGCUGGGGCCCAAGAAAAAUGUUCCAGUUAGAGCAUUCCAGGGGAUCAUUUUACAGUGUUUACUCUUUAUUUUGAGGGAAUGAGAAGACCGGUCAGAAAAUGUAAUCAACUAAUUUACAUCUGCCCUGUCAGACAUCAGAAUAAGCCAGUGAAACAUAUGUCUGCUGACCUGAAAUUCUUUUUUUUUUUUUUACUGGCAUCUGAGCUAACAUCUGUUGCCAAUCUUUUUUUCUUCUUCUCCCCAAAACCCCCCAGUGCAUGGUUGUAUAUUGUUGUAGUAAGGCCUUCUGGUUGUGGCAUGUGGGCUGCUGCCUCAGCAUGGCCUGA